AUGGUUUUCUGCACAACUGUCAGGUCAGCAGUCUUCCCCAUGAUUGUGAUUCCUACUCAACCAGACUGAGAGGCCCAGAAAAACUUUGCAGGUGUUAUGGCUUACUUAGCUGAUUAGAGUGGGACACUGUGAGCCUAGAAAAUUGCACCUUUUCACAAUAUUCUAAUUUACUGAGAUUGUGGAUUUGGGGUUUUCAUGAGCU